AGUUACCACCCUGAGCCUUCCAGCUCGGCCGCCUCCUCGGCCUGAAGACUCCCCGCCUCCUCCCGCCCCCUCCCCUUUUCCCAAAGAUCAGCGUUUUCUGGGAGAAACGCUCCGGAGUUGUUGAUGAAUGAGAAGAGGACUGGAAAGAUGGAUAGGAGAAAGCACCGCGGAUCUCCCUCUCACCCCAGGCUCGGGGCGCAGAAGAUGGAGAGAAGAUUCCACUCUCCCCGGAGCAGAUAGGGACGGUCGCGCCAGCCAAUCAGAGCGCGGCUCGGCGCCGGCGCUCCCGGCCGCCUGGGCCGCCGUGUCCUCCAGCGCUGGAAUCUGUGGAGCAGGAAGCCUGGCAAUUCCAAGAUACGCGAUGAUCUUCAAACAUUCCCGGGAGCCAGUCCUGAGGCUCUGGCUUCAGGGCCUAGUUUCCAUUUAUGCCGCGUUUUUGAGAGUCUAAUACUGUGUCUGGCACAUGAAAGGUCCACGCAGGAUGGUCGCUUCCCCCUUGCUGAGAGUUUUGCCUUCAGCCUAUCUGGGCCGCUGGAAAAGAGGAGAAGAAUAAACAAGAGACAAGCAACUACUCCCCUACCGGCGUUCCGUCCUUGUCCUCACUGCCAAAUCCACUCCAAAGCCGAGGAUGGUUUCUCUCCUUGGCUCCUGCCCCUUUCCCCUCCCGGCUCCUUGUCCUUGACUGAACCUCAUGGGACAGAGAACCUCCUGUCCCCCACGAGGCAAGGCGCGAACCCGCAGAGAUCUGGGGUGCCCUUUGGUUCCCUGCGCUGCCCUGGAGGCGUCCAUAGAGGCCUUUGCCGCCAAGGACAGCAAUUGUUUUAUUUUCGAUGGUUGCUCGCCAGGCCUGCGGGUCGCGGGCCCACCCAGCCGUCGAACUUUCCAGUCGUUAUCAGCGCUGCUCCUAACUUAAUGGAAUAAUGCAAAUUAUAGCCUGCCCAGCUGACACGUCCCUGCGAAUGCGCCGGGGCUGAGCUCUGGCCAGCCGCUCUCUCGACGUCCUGGACGGCCGGAGGGAAUGAAGCUCUGAAUUGUGACAAAAGUGGGGGGGGGGCACCCCAAAUUCUCAAAGCAAUGUUCUUUUUUUUUUCUUUUUUCUUAAGCAAUUGAGCCUUACCAAAUGUCGGGGCCGCACGGAAGCCUUGCAUAUUUUAAAGUGUAACCUGAGCCUUCGCGGUUUCAGCUUCACUUAAAACAUGCAAAUUCUUGAAAUUGAAAAAUCUGAAAAACUUCCGAAGAGUUCUAUCUGAAUAAAUCCAAAUCCAUUGGGAGUCGCUUUGAGGAGACAAAACGCACAGCGAUUUGGGGUGAGGGAUAUUUGUGGGGAGGCAGGACGUGCUGGAUUGGGUUUCCAGGGUCAAGGUGUCUCUGGGCCUUCGACGAUAGCCUUAGCGCAGAGCAGGGAAGUGGCACCGCUAGGCAGCAAGCUCAGUUGCUCUACUUUUGUGACCCAUCCCCCCACCCCCCCCACCGCCACCCUUGCCUCCGGGCCACUGCCCCUCUCUGCAAGCUUUGUCCGCUGGACUCCGUUGCCCUUGCGCGGCCGCCCCAUCACUCACGCUUGACUGGAGGAAAUAAAAUUGGCGUUGGCUUUUUAA
rnacentral:lncRNA from 1 species